GAGUUAUACUAGUUGUUCUUGCAUUCAGAAUUAAUUUUGGACUGUUAAAUUUUGGGAUUUAUGGAAUAUGUUCUUGUUAUGCAAAUGUGUUCUACCUUCUAGUGAAACUUGCCUGCCUGACUGCGUUAGUCUGGUUGUGGCUUCCUGUUUGAUCGUGCCUGAUUGUGUAGCUGCGUUUUCCAUCCAUGCAACUCGGAGAAUUCUUACCUAGUAUGCAUGUGGCUUCCAUUGGACUAAGGGAGUAAAUGCACUCACUAUUGCCUUAAAAUGAAAUUUUUCACUUUGUAAUGUAGAAUAAGAAAAUGUGAUAUAGUAGAUAGAUUCUUGUAAUGGAAUUUAAUGACUGUUUAAUAUGAUUUCACUUACAUAUUUGAUUGAAACUGUUGUUUCUCAUAAUUAAGAUAAUAAAUUUUUGUGAUUGUAAUAUUUAGUUGAUUUUCAUGUUAUAUAUCUGGAAAGUAAAUGUCACUUUCUUGUCCUUCAGGCCAUGUUUUGGAGACGAAGGAAAUGUGGGACGUUGCUGAUUGAGGUGGCCCCAUGUCACCGUUGACAGAUGUUAGCGGCAGUGUGACAGUUUUGAGUGAAUGAAGUGGAAAAAGCCAGCAUGAUAUGUUGAUGAGUGUUGGUGAUAAAUGUUCUACACGCGGGUAAGUUAGAGACACGCAAGUAGUCCUAGUGACGGUGGAAAUGAUACUCCCCCACGAUAACUGCAUUAUGAGGUAACGUGUAUAUAAGUUAGUUGUUCUGAUCGUGUAGUCUUAUUUGACAAGUAUUACAUUUUGUUUUUAAGUAAAUGUCAUAUUUAUGGGAACGGCUUUAUCCUUCAUGUGUCAGGACCAUGAAUGUCUCAUAUGUGCUUUUGCCUGCCUUUUAACUGCAUGGCUAUUAUUCAGCAUGUGUAAACCUGCUUUUCUCUGCCUCUUUCUGCCUGUCUGCCUGCCCACCCGCCUGAUUUCCUCUUUCAACGUUCUAGAUGGCAUUGUUCUUAUCUAGCAUUCCUGGGGCUCCCUUUGAAUAAGGAGGUAGAAAACACGGUAUUGUCGACAUAAUUUUUUUUUUCAGUUAAUAAUGUAUUGUUGAAUCAAGUCAUAAUAGAAAUUGUGGCAGUGGUAAAUUGCUUUGACACACAUAUUUAACAUGAUCGGUUCUCUUAUAAUUAAGCUAAUUAUGUAUUUGUCAUUGUAAUAUUCUAGUGGAGCUUCAUCAUAUAUUUCCUUGAAGUAAGAGACAUUAUUCUUUUAUUUGAGGUUAAUUUUGGAGAAUUAGAAAACCUUCACGGGCUUUUCUGCUUGUUGAGUCCUGCGUGACACGUUUAUGAACUGAUUUGCAAUGAGACCGAUCUGAUUGUAUGAACACGCAAAAGCGUCAGUGAUGUGUUUUUUCUAGAGAUGUGGAGGAAAAUGGAUGAACCACUGGUCAAGUUAUGUCACACAAUUGUCUUAAUUGUGGAAAUAGGAAUGCCACACCAUACCAUGAUUUAUGAGGAAAGUUGUAGAGCUGCAGUCCCUCCUAUAGGAGUUAUAUUAGUUGUUCUCUACUUUCACACUUAAUUUUGAUCUGUUAUAUAUUUGGUUUUAAGGAGCAUGUGGUUGUUAUGCAAAUGUGUUCUUCCUUGUAGUGAUACAUGACUGCCUGCCUGCCUUAGGCUGCUUGUGGCUUCCCCUUUGACCCUGCCAGAUUGCAUUCCUGCCUUUGCCAUCCAUUCAGCUCAAGAGUAUUCUCACCUUGUAUGCAUGUGGCUUCCAUUGGACUAAGGGAGUAAAUGCACUCACUAUUGCCUUAAAAUGAAAUUUUCACUUUGUAAUGUAAGAUAAGGAAUUGUGAUAUAGUUGAUUUAAUUUGUAAUGGAAAUUGAUGACUGUUAAAUAUGAUUUUACAUACAUAUAAGAUAAAACUGUUGUUUGUCAUAAUUAAGAUAAUACAUUUUUGUGAUUGUGAUAUUUAGAUGAGUUUCAUUUCUUGUCCUUCAGGCCAUAUUUUGGAGACAAAGGAAAUGUUGGAAGUUGCUGAUUGUGGUGGCCCUGUGUCACCGUUGACAGAUGUUAGCAACAGUGAGACUGUUGUCACUGAAUGAAGAGGCAAAAGAAACUAUGAUGUAGUGAUGAGUGUUGGUAUUAAAUGUCUACUCCUGGGUAUUUUAGAGAGACACAAGUGGUCCUUGUGACGGUGGAAAUGAUCCUGCCACACCAUACCAGCAUUACGAUGGAACAUGUACAUCAGCAAUUCCUCCUGCUGGUGUUAAAGGAGUUUCAUCAUACAUGCAAAAGCUUCAGUGAUGUGUUUUGUAGAGAACUGGAGGAAAAUGGAUCAACCACAGGUCAUGUUAUGUCGCACAAGUGUCUUAAUGAGGGAAAUAGUAAUGCCACACCAUAGCAUCAUUUAUUAGUGAUGCUUGCCUGCCUGCCUUGUUUAGUCUGCUUGUGGCUUCUCCUUUGAUCCUGCCAGAUUGCGUACCUGCCUUUGCCUUCCAUGCAGCUCAGAAGUUUCUCACCUAGUAUGCAUGUGGCUUCCAUUGGUCUAAGGGAGUAAAACCACUCACUAUUGCCUUAAAAUAAGAAAUCGUGAUAGGUAGAGUGGAGUGUAUUAGGGAUGCUAACACCUAUUUAAGAAGGAUUGGUUGUAGUGUUACCUUUUACUUUAUUGUAAACAAUAAUUGUUAUUCAUAACUAAAUAUGUAUAAAACAUAGCUGUAGAAGAAUUAAAUUAUAUUAUGGUCUCUUCACACUUAUAGACAAGAGUAUUGCUGGAUACUCUGUACAUUGUUCAUAGUAUCACUUGCAUAUAUUUAUAAUAUUGUCGCGUAUUGGGCGUAUGACGCGACAAAUAACUUCACGCCAUAUUUGAUGUAGCGA